GCGCAAAAUCUGAACAUCAAGAUUGAGCUGACUGAGCUAAAGGCACACCACACCUGUAAGCCGAGCAAUGCCUUUCAAACAUAAAACUGGUGAUGCAUGAAAUGCUUUUUCAAUGGACAGGAUAGCCAGCCCAUUCAUGCUCUCCUGCUCCAUGCUGCCCCUCGGUCCCACCGUAAGUUUUCGGCUCCGCGGAUCCCUGGGCUUCCUACCACGCAAGAGGAGCAGGCGUCACCGUGGCAAAGCCAAGAGCUUCCCCAAGGAUGACCCCAGCAAGCCAGUCCACCUCACAGCUUGGCUCGGCUACAAAGCUGGCAUGACUCGCAUCGUGCGUGAAGUCGACAGACCUAGAUCAAAGGUCAAGAAGUGGUUGCGGCUGUGACUAUUGUGGAGACUAUGAUGGUGGUUGGAGUUGUGGGAUAUGUCAUGACUCCUCGUGGCCUGAAGGCUUUUAAGACUGACCAGUGCAAGCGCCGCUUCUAUAAGAACUGUCUCUGCUUGUGCAGUCCAACCGUCGUGCUUUGGAGAAAGAUCGACCAAGUUCGACGCCACUUCCAAAUUCGGACACGGUCGCUUCCAGACAGCCGAGGAAAAGAAGGCCUUCAUGGUAAGCACAUUGCCUUUUUUUACCUGGUGUCUCCAGAGGUUUGGGGCUUUUUGCCCUGUGAAGGAUGAAAUUACUUGAGUAGAAGAGACUGCUCUGGUCAUGUGUCGUGUUGGAAGCUGCCAUUUUGGCCCAUGAACUGCGCAGCCUGAAC